rnacentral:rRNA from 2 species
CAGCCGCCGCGGUAACACCAGCCCCUCGAGUGGUGGGGAUGAUUAUUGGGCCUAAAGCGUCCGUAGCCUGCCGUAAAAGUUCCCCGUUAAAUCCAGCGUCUCAAGCGUUGGACCGCGGGAAAUACUGCACGGCUAGAGAGUGGGAGAGGUCAGCGGUAUUCUGGGGGUAGGGGCGAAAUCCUUUGAUCCCCGGAGGACCACCAGUGGCGAAGGCUGCUGACUAGAACACGUCUGACGGUCAGGGACGAAAGCUGGGGUAGCGAACCGGAUUAGAUACCCGGGUAGUCCCAGCCGUAAACGAUGCAUGCUAGGUGUUGGGUUGGCCACGAGCCACCCCAGUGCCGCAGGGAAGCCGUUAAGCAUGCCGCCUGGGAAGUACGAUCGCAAGGUUGAAACUUAAAGGAAUUGGCGGGGGAGCAC